rnacentral:tRNA from 1 species
GGCACUGUGGCUCAGUGGUAGAGCGCUUGCCUUCAUGCAUGAGGCCCUGGGUUCAAUUCCUCAGCACCA